rnacentral:rRNA from 1 species
GAUGAACGCUGGCGGCGUGCCUAAUACAUGCAAGUCGAGCGAACGGACGAGAAGCUUGCUCCUCUGAUGUUAGCGGCGGACGGGUGGGUAACACGUGGAUAACCUACCUAUAAGACUGGGAUAACUUCGGGAAACCGGAGCUAAUACCGGAUGAUAUUUUGAACCGCAUGGUUCCAAAGUGAAAGACGGUCUUGCUGUCACUUAUAGAUGGAUCCGCGCUGCAUUAGCUAGUUGGUAAGGUAACGGCUUACCAAGGCAACGAUGCAUAGCCGACCUGAGAGGGUGAUCGGCCACACUGGAACUGAGACACGGUCCAGACUCCGACGGGAGGCAGCAGUAGGGAAUCUUCCGCGAUGGGCGAAAGCCUGACGGAGCAACGCCGCGUGAGUGAUGAAGGUCUUCGGAUCGUAAAACUCUGUUAUUAGGGAAGAACAUAUGUGUAAGUAACUGUGCACAUCUUGACGGUACCUAAUCAGAAAGCCACGGCUAACUACGUG